rnacentral:lncRNA from 1 species
UAAACCUCAUUACCCCAUUUGGUAUGAGGGUGAAACGGGUCGUUCCCAUACCCCGUCCGGUAUGGGAGACCACAAUCCCGGUAGGGUUCCCUACAGACCCGGUCUGUCCACCAUCUCUCAAGAUAUCUAGUCAGGCUGACCACAUUAUACAAUUACCAAUUUACAUAAUCUUUCAUUCUCUUUUUCCUCAGUCAGCAUCAUUAAUCCACAUACAAACAAGCAAAACGGUAAUUUAUGCCAAACAGACAACAUACAGCAUCAAUAUCCCAGUCAUUCAAUUCAUAAUCAAUAAAACAGUAAAAUAUGCACACGAAACUAUAAAAUGAAAACAUCAAACCCCAUACUGCAUUU